rnacentral:rRNA from 1 species
CCUACGGGAGGCAGCAGUGAGGGAUAUUGGUCAAUGGGCGCGAGCCUGAACCAGCCAAGUAGCGUGAAGGAUGACUGCCCUACGGGUUGUAAACUUCUUUUAUAAAGGAAUAAAGUAAGGCACGUGUGCCUGUUUGUCUGUACUUUAUGAAUAAGGCUCGGCUAACUCCGUGCCAGCAGCCGCGGUAAUACGGAGGAUCCGAGCGUUAGCCGGAUUUAUUGGGUUUAAAGGGCGCGUAGAUGGGGUGUUAAGCCAGUUGUGAAAGUUUGCGGCUCAACCGUAAAAUUGCAAUUGAUACUGGGUGGCUUGAGUACAGGUGGGGUAGGCGGAAUUCCGGGUGUAGCGGUGAAAUGCUUAGAUAUCACGAAGAACUCCGGUUGCGAAGGCAGCCUGCUAAACUGCCACUGACAUUGAGGCCCGAAAGUGUGGGUAUCAAACAGGAUUAGAUACCCGUGUAGUC